GUGUCAGCCGCCGCGGUAAUACGGAGGUGGCAAGCGUUGUUCGGAAUUACUGGGUGUAAAGGGUAUGUAGGCGGUAGAGGAAGUUGAAUGUGAAAUCCUUUGGCUCAACCAAAGAACUGCAUUCAAAACUGCUUUACUUGAGUUCGGGAGAGGAGAGCGGAAUUCCCGGUGUAAGAGUGAAAUCUGUAGAGAUCGGGAGGAACACCAGUGGCGAAAGCGGCUCUCUGGACCGAUACUGACGCUGAAAUACGAAAGCUAGGGGAGCAAACAGGAUUAGAUACCCUGGUAGUCCUAGCCGUAAACGAUGGGCACUAGGUGUCGGGGACUUUGUCUUCGGUGCCGCAGUUAACACUUUAAGUGCCCCACCUGGGGAGUACGGUCGCAAGGCUGAA
rnacentral:rRNA from 1 species